rfam:Ectocarpus siliculosus strain Ec 32, whole genome shotgun sequence assembly, unassigned sequences LGTn
GGGUCCGUAGGCUAAUGGAUAAGCCGCUGCCCUUCGAAGGCAGAUAUUGUCGGUUCGAGUCCGGCCGGACUCG